rnacentral:rRNA from 10 species
UGACCUCGGAUCAGGUAGGGAUACCCGCUGAACUUAAGCA